GAUGAAUGCCCCUUUGGAUUUCAUAUUGGUUCGAUAUCUUAAGAUCUCCAUAGCUAUGAUGUAGCUUUCAAAUAUGGAUCAACCUUUGAUGAAGGCCAUUUGAGAGGGAGCUACCAAAUGACCGAUGAGUUUACUUAAUUUGAGCAAUAGUAGCUUGGAGAGGAUCUUAAUGAUCGCAUUUUCUAAAUUGAUAGAUCUGAAAUCCUUUACCAUAGUGCUCUCACUCU
rnacentral:lncRNA from 1 species